UACGGAGGGUGCAAGCGUUGUUCGGAUUUAUUGGGCGUAAAGAGCUCGUAGGCGGUUUGUCGCGUCUGCCGUGAAAGUCCGGGGCUCAACUCCGGAUCUGCGGUGGGUACGGGCAGACUAGAGUGAUGUAGGGGGAGACUGGAAUUCCUGGUGUAGCGGUGAAAUGCGCAGAUAUCAGGAGGAACACCGAUGGCGAAGGCAGGUCUCUGGGCAUUAACUGACGCUGAGGAGCGAAAGCAUGGGGAGCGAACAGG
rnacentral:rRNA from 1 species